rnacentral:rRNA from 1 species
CGGGUGAGUAAUGUCUGGGAAACUGCCUGAUGGAGGGGGAUAACUACUGGAAACGGUAGCUAAUACCGCAUAAUGUCGCAAGACCAAGAGGGGGACCUUCGGGCCUCUUGCCAUCGGAUGUGCCCAGAUGGGAUUAGCUAGUAGGUGGGGUAACGGCUCACCUAGGCGACGAUCCCUAGCUGGUCUGAGAGGAUGACCAGCCACACUGGAACUGAGACACGGUCCAG